rnacentral:rRNA from 1 species
AUUGAACGCUGGCGGCAGGCCUAACACAUGCAAGUCGAACGGUAACAGAAAGCAGCUUGCUGCUUUGCUGACGAGUGGCGGACGGGUGAGUAAUGUCUGGGAAACUGCCUGAUGGAGGGGGAUAACUACUGGAAACGGUAGCUAAUACCGCAUAACGUCGCAAGACCAAGGAGGGGGACCUUCGGGCCUCUUGCCAUCGGAUGUGCCCAGAUGGGAUUAGCUAGUAGGUGGGGUAAAGGCUCACCUAGGCGACGAUCCCUAGCUGGUCUGAGAGGAUGACCAGCCACACUGGAACUGAGACACGGUCCAGACUCCUACGGGAGGCAGCAGUGGGGAAUAUUGCGCAAUGGGCGCAAGCCUGAUGCAGCCAUGCCGCGUGUAUGAAGAAGGCCUUCGGGUUGUAAAGUACUUUCAGCGGGGAGGAAGGGAGUAAAGUUAAUACCUUUGCUCAUUGACGUUACCCGCAGAAGAAGCACCGGCUAACUCCGUGCCAGCAGCCGCGGUAAUACGGAGGGUGCAAGCGUUAAUCGGAAUUACUGGGCGUAAAGCGCACGCAGGCGGUUUGUUAAGUCAGAUGUGAAAUCCCCGGGCUCAACCUGGGAACUGCAUUUGAUACUGGCAAGCUUGAGUCUGGUAGAGGGGGGUAGAAUUCCAGGUGUAGCGGUGAAAUGCGUAGAGAUCUGGAGGAAUACCGGUGGCGAAGGCAGCCCCCUGGACGAAGACUGACGCUCAGGUGCGAAAGCGUGGGGAGCAAACAGG